GGUCUCGUGGCUCAGUUGGCUAGAGCGUUGGCUGUACUAAGGCCUUUACCUUGCUGGCGUGGGUUCGAAUACCAUCGAGGCCA
rfam:Schistocephalus solidus strain NST_G2 genome assembly, scaffold: SSLN_scaffold0004084